rnacentral:piRNA from 1 species
ACUUAUUACCCUGAGGCAAUUCUCUGUCU